rnacentral:rRNA from 1 species
AUUGAACGCUGGCGGCAGGCCUAACACAUGCAAGUCGAGCGGAUGAAGGGAGCUUGCUCCUGGAUUCAGCGGCGGACGGGUGAGUAAUGCCUAGGAAUCUGCCUGGUAGUGGGGGAUAACGUCCGGAAACGGGCGCUAAUACCGCAUACGUCCUGAGGGAGAAAGUGGGGGAUCUUCGGACCUCACGCUAUCAGAUGAGCCUAGGUCGGAUUAGCUAGUUGGUGGGGUAAAGGCCUACCAAGGCGACGAUCCGUAACUGGUCUGAGAGGAUGAUCAGUCACACUGGAACUGAGACACGGUCCAGACUACUACGGGAGGCAGCAGUGGGGAAUAUUGGACAAUGGGCGAAAGCCUGAUCCAGCCAUGCCGCGUGUGUGAAGAAGGUCUUCGGAUUGUAAAGCACUUUAAGUGGGGAGGAAGGGCAGUAAGUUAAUACCUUGCUGUUUUGACGUUACCAACAGAAUAAGCACCGGCUAACUUCGUG